GAUGAAGAACGCAGCGAAAUGCGAUAAGUAGUGUGAAUUGCAGAAUUCAGUGAAUCAUCGAAUCUUUGAACGCACAUUGCGCCCUCUGGUAUUCCGGGGGGCAUGCCUGUUCGAGCGUCAUUAUAACCACUCAAGCUCUCGCUUGGUAUUGGGGUUCGCGGUUCCGCGGCCCCUAAAAUCAGUGGCGGUGCCUGUCGGCUCUACGCGUAGUAAUACUCCUCGCGAUUGAGUCCGGUAGGUCUACUUGCCAGCAACCCCCAAUUUUUACAGGUUGACCUCGGAUCAGGUAGGGAUACCCGCUGAACUUAAGCAUAUCAAUAAGCGGAGGA
rnacentral:misc_RNA from 1 species